rnacentral:rRNA from 1 species
ACGCCUUAUACAUGCAAGUCGAACGAAGUAGCAAUACUUAGUGGCAGACGGGUGAGUAACAUGUGGGUAUCUUCCCUUUGGUGAGGAAUAACACGAGGAAACUUGUGCUAAUACCUCAUAAGUCUUUACGGAGAAAGCUUUAUGCGCCAAUGGAUGAGCCCGCACUUGAUUAGUUUGUUGGUGGGGUAAUGGCCUACCAAGACUUUGAUCAAUAGCUGAUUUGAGAGGAUGAUCAGCCACAUUGGGACUGAGACACGGCCCAAACUCCUACGGGAGGCAGCAGUAAGGAAUCUUGCACAAUGGAGGAAACUCUGAUGCAGCGAUGCCGCGUGAGUGAAGAAGGCCUUUGGGUUGUAAAGCUCUUUCGUCGGGGAAGAAAAUGACUGUACCCGAAUAAGAAGGUCCGGCUAACUUCGUGCCAGCAGCCGCGGUAAUACGAAGGGACCUAGCGUAGUUCGGAAUUACUGGGCUUAAAGAGUUCGUAGGUGGUUAAAAAAGUUGGUGGUGAAAUCCCAGAGCUUAACUCUGGAACUGCCAUCAAAACUUUUUAGCUAGAGUAUGAUAGAGGAAAGCAGAAUUUCUAGUGUAGAGGUGAAAUUCGUAGAUAUUAGAAAGAAUACCAAUUGCGAAGGCAGCUUUCUGGAUCAUUACUGACGCUGAGGAACGAAAGCAUGGGUAGCGAAGAGGAUUAGAUACCCUCGUAGUCCAUGCCGUAAACGAUGUGUGUUAGACGUUGGAAAUUUAUUUUCAGUGUCGCAGCGAAAGCGAUAAACACACCGCCUGGGGAGUACGACC